rnacentral:rRNA from 1 species
GACGAACGCUGGCGGCGUGCUUAACACAUGCAAGUCGAACGGAAAGGCCCCCUUGUGGGGUACUCGAGUGGCGAACGGGUGAGUAACACGUGAGUAACCUACCCUUGACUUUGGGAUAACUUCAGGAAACUGGGGCUAAUACCGGAUAGGAGCUCCUGCUGCAUGGUGGGGGUUGGAAAGUUUCGGCGGUUGGGGAUGGACUCGCGGCUUAUCAGCUUGUUGGUGGGGUAGUGGCUCACCAAGGCUUUGACGGGUAGCCGGCCUGAGAGGGUGACCGGCCACAUUGGGACUAAGAUACGGCCCAGACUCCUACGGGAGGCAGCAGUGGGGAAUAUUGCACAAUGGGCGGAAGCCUGAUGCAGCAACGCCGCGUGCGGGAUGACGGCCUUCGGGUUGUAAACCGCUUUCGCCUGUGACGAAGCGUGAGUGACGGUAAUGGGUAAAGAAGCACCGGCUAACUACGUG